AAAUUUAUGCAAUGAAAUGUGGACUUUGAUCCUAAAUUGUAACCUCCCAUUAUUCCAGUCUAGUUGAAAUUCCUCGGUUUAAAGCUCCAUUUAUUUAAUCAUGAAGUUCUUUUUUCUCUUGCUGCGGCAUAUGGAAAACCUUUAAAAAUGGAUGGCCCUACUUUCUUGCUUACGAGACCUUCUGAGGCUUGUGUUUUAGUAGAAACAGGAGAUCACCUUGCCUUUCUUUGAUGAAAUUUGGAUUGGCUCCGCUCAUAAGGGUUACUGGCAAAAAGUUGAGAUAGAAUGACAUUAACCUUAUUGCACAAAUUGUCACAUGUUUGGACGUUUAUCCGCUAAUUUUUAUCGUCUGUAUCCACAUUUAAAGAAUGGUUCUGAGCAUCGCCACACUGCAAGUGUGCAGCGCAUCGAACACAUUCAUAUUGAGGCUACAAUAAAUCCUCCAAACCUAUAUAUUGAUAAAGAUGCAAAUUUUCUAUCCCCUGUUGUUACACAGUUCCUUAAUGACAAUUUGGUUGCUAGCACUAGCAUUGGACGUUGCACUAAACGCCAUGUUUCUACUGAUGAUAACCCAAUCAUCCCAACCGAUGUUGCUCACUUGCUCUAAAUGAUACAAUUCUAAAUAAAAUGAAUUGCAGGUUAACAGGUAUGCAGCUUAAACUCCCCCCUAAUUUGAGAUAGAAUGACAUUAACCUUAUUGCACACAUUGUCACAUGUUUGGACGUUUAUUCGCUAAUUUUUAUCGUCUAUAUCCACAUUUAAAGAAUGAUUCUGAGCAUCCCCACACUGCAAGUGUGCAGCGCAUCGAGGACAUUCAUAUUGAUGCUACAAUAAAUCCUCCAAACCUAUAUAUUGAUAAAAAUGCAAAUUUUCUAUCCCCUGUUGGUACACAGAUCCUUAAUGACAAUUUGGUUGCUAGCACUAGCGAUGGACGGUGCACUGAACGCCAUGUUUCUAUUGAUGAUAACCCAAUCAUCCCAACCGAUGUUGCUCACUUGCUCUAAAUGAUACAAAUCUAAAUUAAAUGAAUUGCAGGUUAACAGGUAUGCAACUGAACCUCCCAUCUAAAUUGGAUAACCCCAUAUGAAAAUUCACCUCUCAUGCCUCCACUAAAUUAUUGUAUC